rnacentral:rRNA from 1 species
GAUCCUGGCUCAGGAUGAACGCUGGCGGCGUGCCUAACACAUGCAAGUCGAACGAAGCACUUAUCUUCGAUUCUUCGGAUGAAGAGAUAUUUGACUGAGUGGCGGACGGGUGAGUAACGCGUGGGUAACCUGCCUCAUACAGGGGGAUAACAGUUAGAAAUGACUGCUAAUACCGCAUAAGCGCACGGAACCGCAUGGUUCAGUGUGAAAAGCCGAGACGGU